rnacentral:rRNA from 1 species
GUACAUGCUUACAACAUAGCAUUAAUACAACGAAUCCCAUUAUAACUCCACAGUUAAGCGUGCUUGGGCUAGAUUAGUACUAGGAUGGGUGAUCACCUGGGAAGUUCUAGUAUUUUAUAUG